rnacentral:rRNA from 1 species
CAGCCAAGUCGUGAGGCGGAGCUAAUCCCUUAAAGCCAUUCUCAGUUCGGAUUGUAGGCUGAAACUCGCCUACAUGAAGCUGGAGUUACUAGUAAUCGCAGAUCAGAAUGCUGCGGUGAAUGCGUUCCCGGGUCUUGUACACACCGCCCGUCACACCACGGAAGUUGGGGGCGCCCGAAGCCACUUAGCUAACCCUUUUGGGAAGCGAGUGUCGAAGGUGAAAUCAAUAACUGGGGUGAAGUCGUAACAAGGUAAC